rnacentral:rRNA from 1 species
ACACCGGCAGCCCAAGCGGUGGCCAUUUUUAUUGGGCCUAAAGCGUUCGUAGCCGGCCUGAUAAGUCUCUGGUGAAAUCCCGCAGCUUAAAUGUGGGAAUUGCUGGAGAUACUAUCAGGCUUGAGGUCGGGAGAGGUUAGAGGUACUCCCAGGGGAGGGGGGAAAUCCUAAAAUCCUGGGAGGACCACCUGUGGCGAAGGCGUCUAACUGGAACGAACCUGACGGUGAGUAACGAAAGCCAGGGGCGCGAACCGGAUUAGAUACCCGGGUAGUCCUGGCCGUAAACGAUGUGGACUUGGUGUUGGGAUGGCCUCGAGCUGCCCCAGUGCCGAAGGGAAGCUGUUAAGUCCACCGCCUGGGAAGUACGGUCGCAAGACUGAAACUCAAAUGAAUUGGCGGGG